UGGGGAAUUUUGGACAAUGGGGGCAACCCUGAUCCAGCCAUGCCGCGUGAGUGAAGAAGGCCUUCGGGUUGUAAAGCUCUUUCGGCCGGGAAGAAAUCGCAUGGGUGAAUAGCCUGUGUGGAUGACGGUACCGGACUAAGAAGCACCGGCUAACUACGUGCCAGCAGCCGCGGUAAUACGUAGGGUGCGAGCGUUAAUCGGAAUUACUGGGCGUAAAGCGUGCGCAGGCGGUUUGUUAAGACAGGCGUGAAAUCCCCGGGCUCAACCUGGGAACGGCGCUUGUGACUGGCAGGCUAGAGUACGGCAGAGGGGGGUGGAAUUCCACGUGUAGCAGUGAAAUGCGUAGAGAUGUGGAGGAACACCGAUGGCGAAGGCAGCCCCCUGGGCCGAUACUGACGCUCAUGCACGAAAGCGUGGGGAGCAAACAGGAUUAGAUACCCUGGUAGUCCACGCCCUAAACGAUGUCAACUAGGUGUUGGGUGGGUAAAACCAUUUAGUACCGGAGCUAACGCGUGAAGUUGACCGCCUGGGGAGUACGGCCGCAAGGUUAA
rnacentral:rRNA from 1 species